rnacentral:miRNA from 1 species
GGUUGGCACAGAGUAGUACUGUG